rnacentral:rRNA from 1 species
AGGACGAACGCUGGCGGCGCGCUUCAAGCAUGCAAGUCGAACGAGAUACCCGGGCUUGCCCGGGUGGAGAGUGGCGAACGGGUGAGUAACACGUGAGGAACCUGCCCCGAAGACCGGGAUAACGCCGGGAAACUGGUGCUAAUACCGGAUGCCCUCGCCGGAUCGCAUGGUCUGGCGAAGAAAUGGAUUCCGCUUCGGGAUGGCCUCGCGGCCUAUCAGCUAGUUGGUGGGGUAACGGCCCACCAAGGCGACGACGGGUAGCUGGUCUGAGAGGAUGUCCAGCCACACUGGGACUGAGACACGGCCCAGACUCCUACGGGAGGCAGCAGCUAGGAAUCUUGCGCAAUGGACGAAAGUCUGACGCAGCGACGCCGCGUGCGGGAUGAAGGCCUUAGGGUCGUAAACCGCUUUCAGCAGGGACGAAAUUGACGGUACCUGCAGAAGAAGCCCGGCAACUACGUGCCAGCAGCCGC